CAUUGCUGUCAAAAGGGACAGAAAAUUCAAUGAUAUAAAUGAUUCAUUGGCUUUAUCAAAAAGGACAAGAUCAGGUUUGUUGACUAGAAUUCUCCUGAGGCUAUAAAUGGCUAUAAAUUACUCCAGCACAUGUAACGUUUUACACACAGCAGGAAUGAGUGAUGUUUAAACAGGCAUAAUUAUUGACAACAAUUCUCACAAUUUACAAUUACAAUAAAAAUUAGACUAGUUGGACGGUCUCCCGUUAGGUUAUGAAGAUGUUAUGUGCUUCAGUACUUUUGCGUAAAACUCAAAAUGGUUCGAUAAAUUGUACGUAAGUUUGUUGUGUAUUUUCUUUGUUUUGUUUUGAUUGUUGUUAAAAGCCGCAUGAUCCAGACAUAUGGCAACAGUCUGUAUUCCAGUCUGGAUCGGACAAUCCAGUGAUCAACAACAUCUGUCUACGCACUUGGGAUACGAUGACAUGUGUACGUAAAUUCGUACGUGUGUAACAUACAGGUGACGUUUCCUGUGAGCGGUGCUUCUAUAUAUUUCUGGAGCUUGAAGAUGACUCUACCUUAUCAGAUGAAGACAAAGAAAAGGUUGACGUUGCAUUACAAUCCCACUUUGAGGUCUACCACGAAAUCCGCUCCACGAGUGAGUUUGUCGACCCUGUAGUGAUCCAGGUGAAGUCCGGGACGCUUGACGUCAUCAAACAGGUCAACUGUGACCUCAACUCAAAGGCUGCAGUACAGCAGUACAAGUACCCGAAGUUUACGACGAAACCCGAAUUGAUACGAUUCCUGUUGGCAAACAAGUUGUGACUGUUAACAACUGUGGCAAGAUUCAUUUUCCCAAGAAUAGAGAAACAAUGGACUCUUGAAGUACUUGGUGUCCUGAGGAACCAUAGACUCUUAACAUACUUCCCUGAAACCUUUUGAGAAACAUUUUGUCAUGGUUAAAUGGGUUGGAGAAUUUUAUGACUGAUUCCUACCACUGCUGUUUUCUGUUUUACCACAAACGUACUUGAUAUGCUGGGGAACCAUGGACUCAUUAUGUCUGAGAGAUGACCGAGAGAUUCCCCGUAUUGGUACAAUGUGUGAAACCCAUUUCUAACGUCCCCCGUCGGGAUAUUGCUAAAAGCGGCCAAACACCCAACUCACUCUUCAAAUAAAUGUGAUAAUCUGGGUUUUGUCGCCGCCAUACGAGUAUUGCAGCACAACAAGCACCUAAACCCACCUGAGCCAAGUGAAUCCAAACAAGUUACGUGUUUAUACAAAUAUCGACAUAUACAAAUGGCCAUAAAUAUUGCCGCGCCAGGUGACAGAUGGGUCUACAAAUGUACGUGUAACAGUGACAAUAAUUGUGAGCAUAGAAAUAUUAGCUGUUAAAUGUCGGACGUCAGACAAACGGAUAUCUUUCAAAGAUCUCACCACCCACCAUCCACACCACCCACCAACCACCACCCACACCACCGAGAUAACUAUUAGGGGACAAGGUUCAAGGUCAUUGACAGUCUUGGCAAUUACUUCAUGUCUAUCGUAGUGGGUAUGGUUUUACGCCGCAUUUAGCAAUAUUGCAGCAAUAUCACGGCGGGCACAAAAGAAAUGGGCUUUACACAUAGUACCCAUGUGGGAAAUCGAACCCAGGUCUUCAGCGUGCCGAACGAACGCUUUAAUAACUGGUGCCUCACCGCUCCCUGUCUAUCAUAGAUAUCUGGAAGGUAAAUGUACUAAAACAGCAUGGACCUUUCCAGCAUUGUCUAAACCAGUCCAGCAGUUGUGUCAGGUUUACUUUGCACCUAGUUACCCAACCUUAGCCUGUUUUGGAGUCUUGACUAUUGCCCCAGUGAGGCGAGUGUUAUCAAGUUAGUACAUGUAUAUAUGCUGCGUAAGAUACUUGUCAGUGUAUUUCAACUGACAUUCAGUCUGUACUGUCACUUCUUUCGUGAUCUGUAUUGACUUGUAAACUUAGUGACAUUAAAUUCAGUCGUAAAUUUUA